AAGCUAUCAUUUGUGUGAGUAUUUUUAUUUGAAAUAAGUAAUCAAAGUUUGUAGUUUGGAGUUUUGAUUGUUUAAUGGUAGUUUAUGCUGGUCAUUCUGAUUUACAUAUUGGUUAAUGUAGAGGAUGAGCUGGAAAAACUUCUUUGAUUAUCUGGGUCCUGGAUUUCUUGUCUCUAUUGCAUAUAUUGACCCUGAAAAUUGUAAGAUCAUAAUCUCUAAAUUAAUUUGUGCAUUCGCAUUUGGUUUUUCAAAAAAUUAGUCUGAAUAUUAACUUCUUUUUUAUGUUAUGAAUAAUGUUUGAUAAACAGUUGAGACAGAUUUACAAUCUGGAGCAGAACACAAGUAUGAGCUACUAUGGAUAAUAUUGGUGGCUUCAUGUGCUGCUCUCAUCAUCCAAUCCAUGGCAGCCAACCUCGGGGUGGUCACAGGCAUGUGAUUCUUGAAUUUAGUCACUGUUCACAGGAGGCUUUCUUUUGAAUCAUUAAUCCAAUUUUGUUUUUAAUUGUAGGAAAACAUUUGGCAAAACAUUGCAGAGCUGAGUAUCCUAAAGUGACAAACUUCAUCCUUUGGGUUCUUGCUGAGAUUUCUAUAGUUGCAUGCGACAUUCCUGAAGUGAUUGGAACUGCCUUUGCACUGAACAUGCUCUUCAAAAUUCCUCUAUGGAUUGGCGUUCUUUCGACUGAAUUUAGUACUUUGAUU